AUUGAACGCUGGCGGCAUGCCUAACACAUGCAAGUCGAACGGAAACGAUGGAAGCUUGCUUCCAGGCGUCGAGUGGCGGACGGGUGAGUAAUGCUUAGGAAUCUGCCCAAUAGUGGGGGACAACCAGGAGAAAUUCUGGCUAAUACCGCAUACGCACUACGGUGGAAAGUGGGGGACCUUCGGGCCUCACGCUAUUGGAUGAGCCUAAGUCGGAUUAGCUUGUUGGUGGGGUAAUGGCUCACCAAGGCGACGAUCCGUAGCUGGUCUGAGAGGACGAUCAGCCACACUGGGACUGAGACACGGCCCAGACUCCUACGGGAGGCAGCAGUGGGGAAUAUUGGACAAUGGGCGCAAGCCUGAUCCAGCAAUGCCGCGUGUGUGAAGAAGGCCUGCGGGUUGUAAAGCACUUUCAGUAGAGAAGAAAUUGACGGUACCUCCAGAAGAAGCACCGGCCAACUACGUG
rnacentral:rRNA from 1 species